AUUGAACGCUGGCGGCAUGCCUUACACAUGCAAGUCGAACGGCAGCACGGGAGCAAUCCUGGUGGCGAGUGGCGAACGGGUGAGUAAUACAUCGGAACGUGUCCAGUAGUGGGGGAUAGCCCGGCGAAAGCCGGAUUAAUACCGCAUACGACCUACGGGUGAAAGCGGGGGAUCGCAAGACCUCGCGCUAUUGGAGCGGCCGAUGUCAGAUUAGCUUGUUGGUGGGGUAAAAGCCUACCAAGGCUACGAUCUGUAGCUGGUUUGAGAGGACGACCAGCCACACUGGGACUGAGACACGGCCCAGACUCCUACGGGAGGCAGCAGUGGGGAAUUUUGGACAAUGGGCGCAAGCCUGAUCCAGCCAUGCCGCGUGCGGGAAGAAGGCCUUCGGGUUGUAAACCGCUUUUGUCAGGGAAGAAACGCUCCGGGCUAAUACCCCGGAGUAAUGACGGUACCUGAAGAAUAAGCACCGGCUAACUACGUG
rnacentral:rRNA from 1 species